rnacentral:lncRNA from 1 species
GGUUAGGUUGUGAACAAGUCCCUCCAGAGCAUGUUUGUCAAUUGUUUGUUCACCAAACACAGAGGAGGAGAGAUCAAGUGAAACCAAUUUUGACAGGUGGGAGACUUGGGAUGGGACUUCUCCUGCAAACCCUGUAUAAGAAAGGUUGAGGUAGAAUAGGCUAGUAAACCGACCGAACUCGGAUGGAAUUUUGGAAAGAUUAAAAUCAUUGUAGGCAAGGUUGAGUUUUUGAAGGUGAGGAAGAAGGAAGAGAGUGGUAUUGGAAGGGAAGUUGCCAUAUAGCCAACUGCAGCUCAAGUCAAGGGCAAUAACAUGAGCAUUUAGGUGGUCACAAGUGACCCCAUCCCAUGAGCAGCAAUCUGUACCCUCCUUCCAUGAAUUUGUCUUGGGAUAAGAUUUAAGGCCAGCAUAAUCAUUGCAAUAAGAAGAAACAUCCUCUGUUACGGAAAAAGAGUCCUUAAACUGGAUUAGGGAAGAGCAGGAGUGAGAUCCUGAAGAAGAAAAAGAAGCAUAAAGAUGGGGAAAGAAGAGGAAUAGGCAGAGAAAGAGAUAGGGGGCCAUGUUAUGUUUGUAGAGAAAGAAGAAGGAUAGGAAUGGUAUUUGUAGGCAACAAAUAGUACCACAACAUUGGUGUUACAGUAUUUUUUUUUUCUUUUACAUUGAAAAGCUAUGGAUAUUAGAUUUUCAAAAAUUUUGUAUUUUUCACCAUCAUCAACAACCACUUAGUCUUCUUUUUACCAUAUAUUUUUCAUUCUAUUUUUUUAACAAAAUCUUGUAUUUCAUUUCAGCUUUCAAAACAACUAAAAAAUUUAAAAUUGAUGAAAUUACAAAGUAGAUUGACUUAGUCUUCUUUCCUAUAACAUUUAAAAGAAUAUCUUGUCAACCAAAGUUAAUUAAUGUGAAAAUUCUUUUUCACACAAAAGAACAAAAUUGUGCUCUAUUCACUAAGUUAGAGGAAAAAGACUGCUAGAUUUUUUAAUUAUUUUUUCUUUGAAAAAUUUGAAAGUUUUUUACUGCCUUUAAGCCAAUAAAAAAAACAUGUAUUAAUUUUGUUUUUAAAAAUAGUGUGUUUGAUUGUGAAAUGAUUCAUCAUCCUCCACCACAAACUAUCCAUAUUUGCAGUGUGAAAGCAGCUACUUUCAUAAAGAAAUUACUUAGGAGAUGGGAUCCACCAAUUUUACCUAAACUCGCAUCAACAUUGUUUAGCAAUUUCAAAAUAGACUAAUUAGUCUGGUUCAAAUACCAAGACUACAAUAUCUAUUCACUUCACUUGGUCUUGCUUCCUAUCGCUGUCAGCCAAACUUGAUCGACUAGCAGUAAGGAAAUUUCAGUCAUUUGCAGCAUAAUGUACAAGAAUUCCACUCCCGCAAAAUAAUUUACAAUAUGGACUAACACACUAAAAAUGAUUUUUAAAAAAUGAUUUUUAGAAAGUAAUUUUUGAAAAAUGGUUAGAAGAUAAUUUUUGUUUCUGAAAUAGUUAAUUUUUUUUGGUGUUUAGAUAAAUUUUGUUAUGUUUUCAUUGUUUACUUGAGUUUAUUUCAUAAAGCUUAUGUAUAUAUUUUAAUUAAUCAUGUUUUAGUUUUAAUUAAUCUUAAUUUACUUAAUUAAGCUUAAUUGUUAACUUCGUACAUUAGAAUAUAAAUUUAUGUUUAAUUAAGUUGAAAGUGAUAAAUAUUUAUUUUGAAUAUUAUUUGGAUAAGUUGAAAAAUGAUUUAAUUUGAUAAAAUUGAAGUCAGGGUCAUAGAACUAUGCUUUUUACUGACAAAAUCUUAGAUGCAGUGAUUAUUGAGACUAAAAAAUGAAAGUCAUGAAAGAAGACAUAAAUAGUUGAACCAUACAAAAUGUUACAUUUUGUAAUGCAAUGAAAUAUAGAUGAAUUGUUACAAAUAUAAAGACAGAUGCAUUGCAAUGCAACCUUUCUCCAUAGGAAAAAAAAUUUGACAGACUUCAAAACAAGAAAUUAUGAAGAUACAACAUACACACUUGAACAUCAUUUCCACUAACUAGAUCCUUCUUCGUCCAUUGCUGCGACUGCCAUCCUUUGACUUUCUUCUUCGCUACUUCUCAUGUUGGAUUCAACCAAAUUCACCAACCAUUUUGGCUUACUAAUUUGGAAAACAACAUAUCCCACGACCAUUCCAAACACUACUCCGCAUCCAUAACCUAUCAACACCAAUUUCCAACCAAAAGAGAUGUUUGAUUUUGAACCAUCUUUUCCAAGCACAUUUGGAGGUGGUGGCUCAAUGAUGUUGCAACCUUUUGAGACCGGAAAUCCACAUAAUCCCUUGUUUCCUUCAUAUGAAUCAUUUCCAUAUGUGUUGAACUGUUUGCCUUGAGGAAUCUGACCAUGGAGUUGAUUUUCAGAAACAUUGAAGGACGAAAGAAAUGCCAGAUCUGCAAAUCUAUUUCGAAUUGUCCCUGACAACCUGUUUGAAUAUAGGUCCAACCAUUCAAGACUCGUCAAAUUCCCUAUUGAAGUGGGGAUACCACCGUUAUAAACACUGUCAUAUGGCAUGAAUAACAUACUCAUAUAUUUACUGUCACAUGGCAUGAAAAACACACCCUCAUAUUCACUUUCACAUUAGUCAUCAUAAGCUUAUAACAUAUGUCAUAGCAAUCUCAUAUAUAUUCAUAAUUUCACAAUUUCACAAGCGUACAUAUAUCACAUUUAAUCAUAUGCGCGAGAAAACUUACUCUCACUUACUCUUGGAAUUUAGAGUAGGAAUUUAGGCUACCACUAAAUUCUCAUCAAUUAAACAAUGAAUCAUCUACGAGCAACAAUUUCAAACCACAAUGAAUCGAGAGCUCAAACUAGCUCUUCCUCUAACUCGUAGAAGGCUUUAAUGAAUCCGAGGCUUCACACAUGACAAUCACACAAUACUCACAGUCAAAUGACAGCCAAGGACCCACUUAAACUAACCAAAAUAAAAGCCUAAGCUACCUUCUAAUGUAACCAAACCCUUUAGCAUGACGAACUUAAAAUGCAAAUAUAUCAAUCUACACUUAAACAUUUUCACAUGAAACAAGUUUCAGUCAUCCCCCAUAUUCAUUUAUAGCUAAACUCCAAUCUUUAAACCACACAAAACUACAAGUUUCAAGGUAUAACAUUUUUCCACAAAUUUUGACCAUAAUAAUGAAAAUUCAUUAAAACACGGGAAAUCUAUAAUGAAACUUAGAAGUAAUUUUAAAAAACUUCUAAUUAAGUUAAAACAAGUUGAAAAACACUUUUAAAUCACUUUUUCAUCCACAAUCUCGAAUUCCACCAUUAAUGACCCAAUUUUUAGGUUUAAAUUAAAACAUGCAAUUUCAUAACUAAAAUCUCAAUUUUAAAGUCUAGAUAACAUUAAAAACUAAUGAGAAAGUAAAUGGUUACCUUUGAUGAAAGAUUAAACGAGUUUUGAAGUAAAUUUGAAAAACCCACAAUUGAAGAAGAAGAUGAAAUCUAUGGCGUUUUUGAGUGUUUUUCUUGGAAUUAUAAGAAAUCAAAGUACUAUUGUUUGGGAAUAAAAAUUAAUUGAAAGAUCAAGGGAAUAGCAAAGGACGGCAAUAGCAAACUUUGGAGAGUAACUAUUGUGAAAUAGAACAGGGAAUGGGGUUUAUUAGGUUCAAUUUAAAACAUUGGUAAAACUUCAAUCUAAGUGCUCACUAUUUUAACUUUGUUACAAAUUAGUUCUUUUUCUAAAUUUUAGGUAUUUAAAACUCAUUUUCAGAAAUCGGCUCAAUUCCCUAAUAGCCAUUGUCGAAAACAUUAUUGAAUACUAACCUUACGAAAUUUUGAUUACAUAUAGGCUAAAAUUCCUAAAAAAAAAUUGAAACUCUUAGAUCCUAUUUUGGGGUGUUCACGUAUGGUCAUGAUUCAUGUUGAAUUAAUACAUCAUUCACCGUAAUAAGGCUUAUCGUUGUAAUAAUUAGUUAAAUCACCUAAUAUCUAAAAAAUUAUUAUUAUUUUCAUAAAAUCAUUGAUCAAAUUAUUGUUUUCAAAUUUCAUACAUAAAAUUAACAAAUAAAGAUAGCUCUAAAUAGCAAAACCCAAUAUGUGUAACAAGUAUUUUUAUUAAUCCAUUUGGAAUGUUAAGGUUUGCUGGAGCAAAUAAAUUGAUUAAUGCUUUGAACUUUCCAAACACUUUUUAUAGUUUUGUUAUAUGCAUUUUGUAUAAUUAGUAUAUUUGAAUAUAUUAGAUACAUCGUCUAAAACAAUGCCAAUUGUAAUUUUUUUAUAUUUUGUUGAUCAUAAGCGUAUUAUAUAAAUAAUUUAAAAAAAAAAAGAUGGAGUGAUACAUUUAUGUAGUGCUUAUGAAUAUAAUGUUGGAUUAAAAUCCUUAAUUAUGAGUACAUAUGUAUAUGCUUGAUAUUACAAUUAUCUUAAUAAUUUUGUUUCUGUUCUUGUUGAUUGAUGAUUAUAGAAAUCAUUAUUCUUCUGAAGGCAUACUUUGUUGUCAAUGACAGUACCUGCACCCUAAAAAAGUCACCAGCUUUAACGACUACAAAAGUUGUCCUGCCUGAUAUUUAUUAAAAAAUCACCAGGAAGCACAUUGUCAGGACAUCCUUGCUGGAAAAAAACUUGGUAGGAUGGUUUUUCUGUGCAAACUUAGUAAUUAAUUUAUGUUGUUUUUACCAAACUUUGUAGCGUUUCACUUUUGGUAAAAUUUCAUCCUUGGUCCCUUUAAACUCCUUUUUGCUUUAAUUUGAUUGCUUUCUAGCGUUGCAAAUUACAUAACACUCUUCAAAUGUCUUAUUAAAUUCUCACUUUUACGAGUGCUAUGUUAAUCAAUUUUAAGUUCCAUAUAACACUUACAUGGCUACAAAAUGUGUGUGUGUGUAAGUGUCCUCAACCACAAACAAUCCAAAUUUGCUGAGAAACCACCCAUUAUAUAUAGGUUUGCCAAUGAGAUGGCAAGCAGACUGCUAGCUAGAAAUUCAUGCAUCUUUGAAUCACCAAUUCAAUUAAUAAGCUUAACUAGAGGAAAUAAGGACUUUACACCACCAAUUAAAGCAACCUAUAUGUACCCUUUUACAGUCUGCAUUGUUCCAUGUUUCCAUUCAUUACAUCAUUCCUUCAACUCUGCUAUAUAUUAUUACCGUCUCCAGAAAACCAAACCUUUUACUGCUAACUUGUAAAAAAAUUAUGAAAAUACAACAGAGAUCAUUGAGACAUUGUUGAAGUUGGCUUGCAUGCAGACCAAGAAGCACACCAAGCUGUCCGAGAUAUGCAAGUUGCAGCUGAAGCUUAUGCUGCUGUUUUGUUACUUUCAAAUAGAUAUUUUAUUAUUUACUUAGAUAUGAACUAAGUUGCUGAUAUGCUUGAUGUAAUUAGGAGCUGAUAGAUUGAUAAAUCAGCUUUACCAAGUGUACAAGCAAUGUUUAUCAAGUUACUAAGCCACUUAGUGGAGUUAGGUAUGUGUUUAGGUAACAUUUUCUUAUUUUUGACCAGCUGAUUGCUUGCUAUAUGUAAUGGCAUUGUGCCUUCAUUCAAAUGUAAAGAAAUCUUUCAGAAAAUUCUUCUUCAUUUGGUCUUUACCUAAGCAUUUUUUUUCACGAAGCUCUUGCUGUUUUUGUUUUGUUUGUUGAGCAAGAUAACAAUGCUUUAUGCUUAAGUUUCUGUCAAAAUUUCUCAUUCUGUUUUCUUAGUUCCUACAGACAUUUUGUUCUCCUUUCUCCUUUACUGAGCAGUAGCAAAGAUUAUCGAGACUAAAUUGAAAUCCAUGAAAGAAGACAUAAACAACACCACCAUACAAAAUGUCACACUCAAACAAACCAUUACAGAUACGAAAUGCAAUGAAAGACAGAGGAAUUGGUACAAUAAUAAAGACAGCCAGAUACCAAUGCAACCCUUCACCAUAGGCAAAACGGUCUACAAACAAGAAAUUAUGAAAAAUACAACACUAAUUCUUGAACAUCAUUUGCAGUAAUUAAAUCCUUCUUCGUCUACUGCUGUGAUUGCCUUUCUUUGACUUUCUUCUUCGCCUCUUCUCAUGUUGGUUUUCAACCAAAUUCACCAACCAUUUUGGCUUACCAGUUUGGAAAACAACAUAUCCCACGGACAUUCCGAACACUACUCCGCAUCCAUAACCUAUCAACACCACUUUCCAACCAAAAGCAAUGUUUGAUUUUGAGCCAUCUUUUUCAAGCACAUUUGGAGGUGCUGGAUCAAUGAUGUUGCAACCUUUCGAGACCGGAAACCCACACAGUCCCUUAUUUCCUUCAUAUGAAUCAUUUCCAAAUGUGUUGAAUUGUUUGCCUUGAGGAAUCUGACCAUGGAGUUGAUUUUCAGAAACAUUGAAGGACGAAAGAAAUGGCAGAUCUGCCAAUCUAUUUGGAAUCGUCCCAGACAACCUGUUUGAAGAUAGGUCCAACCAUUCAAGACUUGUCAAAUUCCCUAUUGAGGUGGGGAUAUCACCAAUAAGGUUAUUAUGAGAAAGGUUGAGCCCUUUCAGUAAGUUAAGCUUCCCAAUAACCUUUGGAAUACCCCUUUCAAACUGAUUGUUUGAUAGAUCAAUGAUCAUCCACAUGGUGAAAAUUUUCACCAAUUCCCUAUCUUGUCCUUUCAUAACAAUUCCAAUGGAAUAGGUAUAGAAGCCAACUCCAUAAUCAUGCACCCCCAUGUAUGACACUGUACUACCAAUCUUCUCUAGAUUUAUGAUAGCCUUGAAGCUGUUGAUGUAUCUCACUGGUAGGGGUCCAGAAAAAUAAUUACUUGAGAGAUCAAAAAUUUGGAUUUUAGAGAAAAAAGGGAUAGACUUGGAGCUAUUGACACAUAAGGAACCAUGCAGUUGAUUUGACUUCAAUACAAGAACUUGUAGCUGUGGAAGACUUCCCAACCAGUGAGGAAAUGUAUCAUUGAUCUUGUUGUUACCAAGAUCUAGCACUUCCAGACCUCUACAAUUAAGGAUGGAUGGUGUCAAAGGCCCUUCUAACAGAUUUCCAUUUAAGUUGAAAUUACUCAAUCGGCAUCCCUUUGCAAAUGCUGGAGGAAUCGUCCCAUAAUACUUGUUCUUCUUCAGAUUCAAGAAUAGAAGGCUGUUGCUCAAAUUUCCAAAACAUUGUGGAAUUGUUCCACUCAAGUUAUUGUGGGACAAAUCAAGAAUUUCAAGAAAAGCGGCAUUGCAUAUUAAAGAAGAGACCUCUCCAUUGAAACUAUUAUUUGAGAUCAAAAAGACUCUUAUGGUCGAAGCUGGAAUCGGAAGAUUUCCACUGAUCAAAUUGGAGCUUAAGUCAAGAACAUCAAUAUUCUUCCAUGGAAAGUGCUCAACUUCUGUCAAAGUGUUGUGAGAUACAUUUAAGUGAGUCAAAGAGCCAUUCCCCACCUCUCGCAUCCACUGUGGAAUCUUGCCUUCAAUUUUGUUGCAAGAGAGGUGUUGAAGUAAUGGUCAGCAUGCAGCAACCAAGACUGUCAAAGGCACUACAUGCAGAAGCUGCUGGUUCACCUAGUCAGCAAGCUGUUUAUGUUUCAUUUUGUAAUUUUAAGUUAGAGUAAUGUAACUUAGUUGCUUUAUAACUAUGUUAGGUUUAUGUUUGAUGUAAUUUUGAUGUUGACUGAGCUGAUAAAUCAGCUUUGUUUGUUUAUUCAAGCUAAUUAGCACAAGUUACUAUGUGUAUUAGUGGUAGUAGGUGAAGUUUAGGUCAACCUACUGUUUUGUCAAGAUUGUAAACUUGUUUUAUGUAUUGGCUUUGUGCCAUAUUUAGUUUGAUGAAUGAAUUCAAGAAGUUAUCAUCCAUAUGCUCUCCAUUUUUAGUUUUGCUUAAAAAUCCAUUUGAGUUUUCUGCUUUGUUUCUCCUACAAGUCACGAGACUUGCCAUACAAGCAUUCUGCUGAAGCUUGCUGCUGCUGCCUCUUGCACCAACAAUUGGUAUCUAGAGCCACAUUCUUAGAGGACCUGUUGUAGUUCAGUAUCAAAACGAUGGCAUCAUCAGGUUUUUCACCAGCUUCACCACCUGUCUUCAAUGGAGAGGGCUUCAACAUUUGGGCAGUUAAGAUGAGGACUUACCUGCAGGCAUUCGACCUAUGGGAAGUUGUUAACUCAGAUGCUGAGCCAGCACCUCUUCGAGCUAAUCCAACAGUUGCUCAAAUAAGGCAACACACUGAUGAAAGGACAAAAAGGCACAAGGCCAUGUCAUGCAUACAGAAUUGUGUGACAGAUGUGAUCUUUAUGAGGAUCAUGGCCUGUGAGACACCAAAGGAGGCUUGGGACAAGCUGAAAGAAGAAUUUCAGGGGACUGAGAAAACAAGGCAACAACAGCUGCUCAAUUUGAGAAGAGAUUUCGAAAAUCUCAAAAUGAAAGAGGAAGAAACAGUUAAGCAGUACUCAGACCGGAUUAUGGCUGUUGUAAACAGCAUAAGGCUCCUAGGAGAGCAAUUCAGUGAAGCUAGAAUGGUUGAGAAAGUCAUGUCCACUCUACCAGAGAGGUAUGAAGCUAAAAUUUCAUCCCUCGAAGACUCAAGGGACUUGACAACUAUCUCCUUAACUGAGCUAAUCAAUGCCUUGUAUGCAUAAGAGCAAAGAAGAGCUAGCAGACAAGAGGAGCACCAGGAAGGGGCUUUUCAAGCCAAAGAAGCCUCGAGCAUCAAAACUCAUAAAGGCAAAAAGUUCUGGAAAAACAAGCCUAAGCCUGAUGCUGCUAGGAGCAGUGACCAACUCUGCAGACAUUGUAAAAGAGCUGGUCAUCCAGAAGAUAGAUGCUGGUUUAGACCAGAUGCAGUAUGCCAAAACUGCAAGAAAAAAGGCCAUGUUGAAAAAGUUUGCAAGAAUAGAAGCAAACCAAGACAGAAUCAAUUUCAGCAACAAAAGGUGGAAGCUCGAGUAGCUGAAGAAAGUAGUGAUCAAGAAGAACAUGUUUUUGCUGUGUCAUGUGCAGCAAAUCAGAAGAAGGGUUCAAAGGGCUGGCUUCUAGACAGUGGGUGCACAAACCACAUGUCACCAGAUGCAACUAUCUUCAAAACCCUGGACAGAACCUGCAAAACCAAAGUAAAAAUUGGAAAUGGUCAGUUAAUCAAUGCUGAAGGAAGAGGAGAUGUGCUGAUUCAUACUUCUACAGGUGGCAAAAUCAUUUCAAAUGUACUUUUGGUACCUGAAAUCGAUAGGAACCUUCUCAGUAUAACUCAACUACUUGAGAAAGGUUACUCAGUUGUUUUCAAGGAGAAAGAAUGUCAAAUUUUUGAUCCAAGUGGAUCAAAUCUUAUAACAGUCACCAUGACUGAUAAAUGUUUUGAAGUAGACUGGCCAAAUGACUCACAUUCAGCCUGCAUAGCCUCCACUAAUGACUCGAGACUCUGGCAUCAGAGGCUUGGACAUGCAAACUACAAAUCCAUAGCCCGCAUGGUCAAUGAAGGUCUGGCAGAAAAUUUCAUUGAUUCAGUGAAGAAUGAUGAGCUUUGUGAGAUAUGUCAGCAAGGAAAAUUGGCAAGAUUGCCAUUUCCAACAAGCACAACAUGGAGAGCAUCAGAGAAGCUCCAGCUUGUGCAUACAGAUGUGUGUGGACCAAUGAAGACUGAGUCUCUCAAAGGAAGCAGGUACUUUAUUUUAUUUAUUGAUGACUUAACAAGAUACUGCUGGAUUUAUUUUCUAAAACAGAAAUCAGAAGUACCAUCUAUGUUCCUGAAGUAUAAGGCUGCUGUUGAAACUGAGUCUGGUUGCAAACUUAGAGCAAUGAGGUCAGAUAAUGGAACUGAGUACACCUCAGCUCAGUUCCAAGUCUACUGUGAAGAAGCAGGUAUCAAACACCAGUUGACUAAUGUGUAUACACCCCAACAGAAUGGGGUCAGUGAAAGGAAAAACAGAAGCUUGAUGAACAUGGCAAGAUGUCUUCUGUUUGAGAAGAAUUUGCCCAAAAGUCUGUGGGCUGAAGCUGUUAACACAGCAGUUUAUCUCUAAAAUAGGCUCCCAACCAAGGCUCUGGCUGAGAAGACUCCAUUUGAAGCCUGGUUUGGGUUUAAGCCAUCACUGGCUCAUCUCAGAACCUUUGGUUGUCUGUGCUAUACUCAAGUUCCAGCUGAGAAGAGAAGCAAGCUAGACAAAAGAGCUCAAGCAGGGAUCCUGAUCGGCUACAGCUUGGUUAAGAAGGGCUACAGAAUUCUAGAACCUGCUACAAACAAGAUAUUGGUUAGCAGGGAUGUUGUUUUCAAUGAAAAAGGACACUGGAAUUGGGAGAAGGCUGAACCAGAGGCAGUGGCUGAAGAUCUGGCAGUGGACCAAGUUGAAAAUGGUGAAAACACACCUGAAAUGGAUGUAGAUGAUGUUCCAAUCAGAGGCACUCGAUCACUGGCUGAUGUUUAUGAAAGAGCACAAGUGGCUACUGUUGAACCAAAUUGCUUUGAAGAAGCAGAAAACCAGGAGGACUGGAAGCAAGCAAUGAUUGAAGAAAUCAGAAUGAUUGAAAAGAAUCAGACCUGGAGUCUGGUUGAUAAACCAACAAACAGGAAGAUUAUUGGUGUCAAAUGGGUUUAUCGAGUAAAGAACAAUGCUGAUGGUAGCCUAAACAAGUUAAAGGCUAGAUUGGUUGUGAAAGGCUUCAGUCAAAGGUAUGGAUCAGACUACCUGGAAACCUUUGCACCAGUGGCCAGGUUAGACACUAUUAGACUGCUAGUUGCCUUAGCAGCACAAAAACAGUGGCUGAUACACCAACUUGAUGUAAAAUCAGCAUUUCUGAAUGGAUUCCUUGAAGAGGAGAUUUAUGUGGAGCAACCUCAAGGUUUCAAGGUGUCUGGCAAAGAAGAUAUGGUGUACAAGCUCAACAAAGCCUUGUAUGGCUUGAAACAGGCUCCAAGGGCCUGGUAUAGCAGAAUAGAUGGCUAUCUGACCAGUCAAGGAUUUGAAAGAAGUCUUAGCGAGCCAACUCUGUAUGUUAAAUCAACUAGUGCUGAAACUCAGCUCAUUGUCUCAAUAUAUGUCGAUGACCUACUGGUGACAGGAGGAGAUCAUGAGAUGCUAAGCAGUUUUAAAGUCAAAAUGCAACAGCACUUUGAAAUGUCAGACUUGGGAUUGAUGUCUUACUUCUUAGGCAUGGAAGUAACUCAAGCUAAGAAUGGGAUUUGGCUAAGUCAAAAGACCUUUGCUAUGAAGGUUCUCAACAAAUUCUCAAUGGAGAAUUGCAAAGCAACCAGCACACCAGUUGCUGUUGGAGAAAAACUCUCGAGCCAAGACAAGCAUGAAAAGGUUUGUGAAACAACCUAUCGAAGUCUAGUUAGAUGUUUGUUGUAUUUGACUGCUACUAGACCUGACAUAAUGUAUGCUGUGAGUCUACUCUCGAGGUUUAUGCAUUCUUCAAAUGAAAGUCAUUUUAGAGCUGCAAAAAGGGUUCUAAGAUACAUCAAAGGAACUUUGUCCUAUGGAAUGCAGUUUACCAAGGCUGAGAACUUGAGGCUAGUUGGAUAUUGUGACAGUGAUUGGGCUGGUUCUUUGGAUGACAUGAAGAGCACUACAGGUUAUGCAUUCAACAUAGGCUCUGCUAUGAUAUGCUGGAGCUCAAAGAAGCAAGGAGUAGUGGCUCAGUCGACUGCAGAAGCAGAAUAUGUGGCUGCUGCUGCAGCAGUCAAUCAAGCCAUAUGGCUUAGAAAAAUUUUGAAAGAUAUCAAUCAUGAGCAAAAGGAAGCAACUGAGAUAAUGUCUGACAACCAAUCAGCAGUUGCUAUUGCAAAGAAUCCUGUUUUUCAUGGAAGGACCAAGCACUUCAACAUCAAACUUCAUGCAGUUCGGGAAAUGGAACAAGCUCAUGUUGUUAAGCUGAUACAUUGCAGUUCUGAAGAGCAAAUUACUGAUAUUUUAACAAAAGCACUAAGUGUUUCCAAGUUUCAACACCUGAGAGCUAAUAUGGGAGUUUGCAACAUGCUAACCAAGGAGGAGUGUUGAAGUAAUGGUCAGCAUGCAGCAACCAAGACUGUCAAAGGCACUACAUGCAGAAGCUGCUGGUUCACCUAGUCAGCAAGCUGUUUAUGUUUCAUUUUGUAAUUUUAAGUUAGAGUAAUGUAACUUAGUUGCUUUAUAACUAUGUUAGGUUUAUGUUUGAUGUAAUUUUGAUGUUGACUGAGCUGAUAAAUCAGCUUUGUUUGUUUAUUCAAGCUAAUUAGCACAAGUUACUAUGUGUAUUAGUGGUAGUAGGUGAAGUUUAGGUCAACCUACUGUUUUGUCAAGAUUGUAAACUUGUUUUAUGUAUUGGCUUUGUGCCAUAUUUAGUUUGAUGAAUGAAUUCAAGAAGUUAUCAUCCAUAUGCUCUCCAUUUUUAGUUUUGCUUAAAAAUCCAUUUGAGUUUUCUGCUUUGUUUCUCCUACAAGUCACGAGACUUGCCAUACAAGCAUUCUGCUGAAGCUUGCUGCUGCUGCCUCUUGCACCAACAAGAGGUCUAAGCUUUCCAAACUUUUAAGCCCUUUUAAAAAUUGGGGGAAUUCACUAAGAUUGCAAGAUGACAAAAAUAAGCUUGUAAGAUUAACAGUAGAAGUUGUAUUAGAUGUUAAGGAUAGGCUGUUAUAUGAAAGGUCAAGAUAUUCGAGAUUUGGAAGGUUUGAGAACAUGCGAAACUCUAUGACACCACUAAGAUAAUUUGAGGAUAAGCUAAGUUGGGUAAGAUUGAGAAGUUGGAAUAUUGAAGAUGGAAGAGGACCUUGGAGUUUAUUAUUCUCUAACCAUAUCCAUUCUAGUGAUUUGGAUUGGAAUUCUUUGAUAUGCCCACUGAAUUGAUUUUGAGAGAGAUAUAUUGUCUUUAAGGAGGGAGCAAUAUACAACCAUGACGGAAGUGUUCCAUUGAGUAAAUUGUCAGAUAAGUCUAAAUAUAUUAGAUUAUGAAAAGCGGUUACCUCAUCUGGAAUGGAACCUUCUAAAGAAUUGUUAGAUAUUGUCAAGUAUUCCAGCUGCGUUAGGUUUAGAAUUGACAAUGGAAUUUGUCCACUCAAUUUGUUCCAUCCCAAGUCUAAAACAGUGAGUUGCAAGAGGUUCCCCAAUGAUCUUGGAAUCUGUCCACUCAAUUGGUUCAGCCACAAGUCUAAAUGAGUGAGUUGCAAGAGGUUCCCUAAUGAUCUUGGAAUUUGUCCACUCAAUUGGUUCUUCGACAAGUCUAAAUGAGUGAGUUGCAAGAGGUUCCCCAAUUUUCUUGGAAUUUGUCCACUCAAUUGGUUCUCCGACAAGUCUAAAUGAGUGAGUUUCAAGAGAUUCCCCAGUGAUCUUGGAACCAGUCCUGAUAAGUUGGAAUGGGAGAGAACUAAAAACUUCAAGGACACAAGAUUCCCCAUCGAGUCAGGCAAUCCUCCACAAAUAUUUGCGUCUGAAAUUAUCAAUUGUUCAAGAUUGCUGCUCCGAUUGAACUUCAAAGGAUCAAGAUUGAGGUUUUGGUUGCCUCCCAAGUUGAGGAGAUUGAGGUUUGGCAAAUCAAAAAUGUUUUUUGGGAAUUUUCCUUGCAAAUCACAACCAACAAGACUGAGAGACCUUAGAGAAGAGGAUAGAUUCAUGAAGACAUGAGCAUUAACUGAAGACAUGUCCAUUUCAUCCAAAAACAGACGUCUGACCUCGGUUAGGUUGUGAACAAGACCCUCCAGAGCAUAUUUGUCAAUUGUUAAUAGUUCAUCAAACCCAGAAAGAUCAAGUGAAACCAAUUUUGACAGGUGGGAGACUUGGGAUGGGACUUCUGAAAACCAUGUAUUGGAAAGGUUGAGGUAGAAUAGGCUUGUAAACCGACCGAACUCGGAUGGAAUUUUGGAAGAAUUAAAAUCAUUGUAGGCAAGGUUGAGUUUUUGAAGGUGAGGAAGAAGGAAGAGAGUGGUAUUGGAAGGGAAGGUGCCAUAUAGCCAACUGCAGCUCAAGUCAAGGGCAAUAACAUGAGCAUUUAGGUGGUCACAAGUGACCCCAUCCCAUGAGCAGCAAUCUGUACCCUCCUUCCAUGAAUUUGUCUUGGGAUAAGAUUUAAGGCCAGCAAAAUAAUCGCAAUGAUCAAAAGAAGCAUCCUCUCUUAUGGAAAAGGAGUCCUUAAACUGGAUUAGUGAAGAGCAGGAGUGAGAUCCUGAAGAAGAAAAAGAAGCAUAAAGAUGGAGAAAGAAGAGGAAUAGGGAGAGAAAGAGAUAGGAGGCCAUGUUAUGUUGGUAGAGGAAGAUGAAGGAUAGGAAUGGUAUUUAUAGGCAACAAAUAAUACCACAACAUUGGUGUUACAGUCUUUUUUCUUUUACAUUGAAAAGCUAUGGAUAUUAGAUUUUCAAAAUUUUUGUAUUUUUCACAAUCAUCAACAACCACUUUGUCUUCAUUUUACCAUAUAUUUUUCAUUCUUAAAAUUGGAUUAUUUUCUUUUAGCAAAAUCUUGUAUUUCAUUUGAACUCCCUAAACAACUAAAAAAUUAAGAUUGAUAAAAUUACAAAGUAGAUUGACUUAGUCUUCUUCCUUGUAACACGUAAAGAAUUUCCACGCAAAAGAACAAAAUUGUGCUCUAUUCUUUACGUUUGAGGAAGAAGACUGCUGGAAUUUUAAUCCACUGAUUCCAUAAAAACGUGUAUACUUAUAUAUAUAUAUAUUUAUAACCUCAUAAUUUAAAUCUAAAAUCUCAUUUGUUAUAAAUUCUGAUAAAUUUAUUUGGGAAUUGCUAUUUUUCAUUCGUUAAUUAUUUCUCUUUUAAUCGAGUAAAAAAUUAAAACUAAAGACAUAAUGAUUUAUUUGGUAUUUUUUAACUUCGCAAACGAAAAAUUAUUUUAGCUUUCUAUUUUUUUUUAUCUCUUUUAGUCUUGAAAUUUAUAUGGUUCAUUAAAUCACCCAAAAAAAUGAUGAAAAAAAUAACAAAACUAGCACCUACGUGGCUGAUGUUGACCCUUAAUAGUUAAUGGCAACACCUAUGUAGUUGUUAACAGAUACCACACCAACACUGUUUGUUGACGUGACAAUGCCACAUGAUCAAUAAUCGCAGACAUGGUAGCGCCACGCCAUCGCCCAUUGAUGACAUAUUAACCUUUGAGUUAAACUCAAAUAAUUUGGUCCCAAAUAGUUUUCAACACAAAAGAAUAGAGGAAGAAGACUGCUACAGGUUUAACUAUCAAUUGUCUAUUGACUAUACUUUUAACUCCACUAAAAAAGACCAAGACUAAGACUAUCAAUUGUCUAUUGACUACACUUUAACUCGACAAAAAAAGACCAAGACUAAGACUAUCAAUUGUCUAUUGGCUUCACACUUGCUGUUGCUUCCUCCUAUUUCUCUCACCCAAACUUAAUUUACAAGCAAUGUGGAAAUUUUGGACAUUUGCCCACAACGUACAAUACUUCCACACCAUUUGCAGUAUUGACUACGUUUACUUGAGGGAAAACAAAGACAUGAACGCUGGAAAUUUUAACUAGUUUGUACCGUCAAUGAAGCUACGUACCUAAAAGCCAUUUAGGAUAUCAAUUCCUGUAAUUGGAGUAAUCUCAUCGUUGCUGCAAUCUUUUGACAGUUUAAUCGAAUCUUAAAUAUGUUACUCUGCAAUGCUAUUGUAAAUAUUUUUCUUAAAUUUGUCGAUAGAUUUAUAGGUUUGGCACAAAAUUAAGAAUACACAAAGGCAGGUUGAAUUAUUCCAUGUUUGAACAUCUGCAACAUAAAUGCAUAUGGCAAAAGGGCUCAAACCAUACCUUAUGUUCAUGAAUUCUCAUCAUCACGUGUUUAUAAAUGCAACUCAAACUUCAAUAAUUGAAUCUUUUGUAAUUCUACAUGUAUUUUUUUAUUAUGGCGAGCAGUAUAAUGUUUACUAAAAAUUGAAAUUCAAGAAAGAAGACAUAUAUAGUUGCACCAUACAAGAUGUUACACUCGAACUAAACGCUUACAAAUAGUACGAAAUGCAAUUGAAUACAGAGGAAUUGGUACAAUCAUAAAAACAGACACAUACCAAUGCAACUUUUCACCAUAGGAAAAACUUUCUGACAGACUACUAAACAAGAAAUUAUGAAGACACAGUAGAAAUGCUUUAACUUCAUUUGCACCAACUAGAUCAUUCUUCAUCCACUCAUGCGAUUGCUAUAUUUUGGCUUUCUUCUUCGCCUCUUCUCAUGUUGGUCUUCAACCAAAUUCACGAACCUUUUCACCUUAUCGGUUUGGAAAACAACACAUCCCAUGGCCAUUCCAAACACUACCCCGGAUCCAUAACCUAUCAACACCACUUUCCAACCAAAAGCAAUGUUUGCUUUUGAGCCAUCCUUUUCCAGCACAUUUGGAGGUGGUGUCUCAUUGAUGCUGCAACCUUUGGAGACUGGAAAUCCACAUAGUCUCUGUUUCCUUCGUAUGAAUUGUUUCCAAAUGUAUUGAACUGUUUGCCUUGAGGAAUCUGACCAUGGAGUUGAUUUUCGGAAACGUUUAAUAAGGAAAGAAAUGCCGGAUCUGCCAAUAUCUCUGGAAUUAACUCAGUUCAAAAGACUAUAUAACUCGUAAAGUUUGGUCGAAGACUAGCAGGGGUCAAGAAAAAUAAUUACUUGAAUUGUCAAAAUUUUGGAUUUUAGAGAAACAAGCACUAGACUUGGAGCUAUGGUCAUGCAAGGAACCAUGCAUUUCAUUUGACUUUAGUACAAGAACUUGUAGCCGUGGAAGACUUCCCUACCAAUGAGGAAAUGUAUCAUUGAUCUUGUUGUUCCUAAGAUCUAGCACUUCCAAAGACCUAAAAUUGAGGAUGGAUGGUGACAAAUGCCAUUCAAAUUGAUUUCCAUUUAAGUUGAGAUUACUCAAUUGGCAUCCCUUUGCAAAUGUUGGAGGAAUCAAUCCAUAAAACUUGUUCUUCUUUAGAUUCAAAAAUUCCAGGUUGUUGCUCAAAUUUCCAAAACAUUGUAGAAUAGUUCCACUCAAUUUAUUGUGGGACAAGUCAAGAAUUUGGAGAGCACUCACAUUGCCUAUCAAAGAAGAGACCUCUCCACUUAAACUAUUGUUUGAAGUAAAAAACACGUUGAUUGUCGAAGAUGGGAUUGGAAGAUUUCCAUGGAUCAAAUUGGAGCUUAAGUCAAGAAUAUUAAUAUUCUUCCAUGGAAGUUGCUCAACUUCUGUCAAUGAAUUGUGAGAUAAAUUUAAGUAACUCAAAGAGUCACACGUCACUUCUUGCAGCCAUUGUGGAAUCUUCCCUUCAAUUCUAUUGUUAGAAAGCUCCAAAGUUUUCAACUUUUUUAACCCUUUCAAAAAUCGGGGGAAUUGGCUGACAUUAUUUGAGCUUAAGGAUAGGCUGUUUAGUGAAAGGUCAAGAUAUUCGAGAUUUGGGAGAUUUGAGAACAUGCCAAACUCUAUGACACCACUGAAAUUAUUUGAGUAUAAAAGGAGCCAGGUAAGGUUGAGAAAUUGGAAUAUUGAAGAUGGAAGAGGACCUUGGAGAUUAUUAUUCCCUAACACUAUCAUUCUAGUGAUUUGGAUUGGAAUUCUUUGAUGUGUCCACUGAAUUGAUUCUGAGAGAGAGAUAUUUCCAUUAAGGAGAAAGCAUUAUACAACCAUGACAGAAGUUUUCCAUUGGGUAAAUUGUUAGAUAAGUCUAAAGAUAUUAGAUUAGGGAAAGCAGCUACCUCAUCUGGAAUGGGACCUUCUAAAGAAUUUUCAGCUAUUCUCAAGUGUUCAAGCUGUGUUAGGUUUACAAUUGACAAUGGAACUUGUUCACUCAAUUGGUUCCAUGACAAGUCUAAAUAUAUGAGCCACAAGAGGUUCCCCAGAGAUCUCGAAAUUGAUCCCUGUAAAUUGGAAUUAGAGAGAGACAAAUAUUUCAAGACGUGCAGGUUGUCAAUCAAAUCAAUCAAUUUUGAAAAGGAGGACAUCCAUGACAGAUCCAAAUGUUCAAGAUUACUGCUCUGAUUGAACUUCAGAAGAUCAAGAAUCAGGUUUCGGUUGUAUCCUAAGUUGAGCAAAUUGAGGUUUGGCGAAUGAAGAACGUUUCUUGAGAAUUUUCCUUGCAAAUCACAACCACCAAGACUGAGAGACUUUAUAGAAGAGGAUAGAUUGAUGAAAACAUUAGGAUUAAUAGAAGGCAUGAUAAUUCUAUCAAGAAAAAGAUGUCUCACCUCAGUUAGGUUGUGAACAAGUCCCUUCAAAGAAUUUUAUCAAGUGUUAAUUGGUCAGAAAAAACAUUAUGAGAGAGAUCAAGUGAAACCAAUUUUGACGAGUGGGAGAUUUGGGAUGGGACUUUUCCUGCAAAUAACGUUUCUGAGAUGUUAAGAUACACCAGGCUUGUAAACCGGCCGAACUCGGAUGGAAUUUUGGAAAGAUUAAAAUCAUUGUAGGCAAGGUUGAAUUUUUGAAGGUGAGGAAGAAGGAAGAGAGUGGUAUUGGAAGGGAAGUUGCCAUAUAGACAACUGCAGCUCAAGUCAAGGGCAAUAUAUAACUUGAGCAUUUAGGUGGUCACAAGUGACCCCAUCCCAUGAGCAGCAAUCUGUACCCUCAUUCCAUGAAUUUGUCCUGGGAUAAGAUUUAUGGCCAUCAAUCUCAUUGCUAUAAGAAGAAGCAUACUCUGUUAUGGAAAAAGAGUCCUUAAACUGGAUUAGUGAAGAGCAGGAGUGAGAUCCUGAAGAAGAAAAAGAAGCAUAAAGAUGGGGAAAGGUUAAGGUAGAAUAGGCUUGUAAACCGACCGAACUCGGAUGAAAUUUUGGAAAGAUUAAAAUCAUUGAAGGCAAGGUUGAGUUUUUGAAGGUGAGGAAGAAGGAAGAGAGUGGUAUUGGAAGGGAAGUUGCCAUAUAGCCAACUGCAGCUCAAGUCAAGGGCAAUAACUUGAGCAUUAAGGUGAUGACAAGUGACCCCACACCAUGAGCAGCAAUCUGUACCCUCCUUCCAUGAAUUUGUCUUGGGAUAAGAUUUAAGGCCGGCAAAAUCAUCGCAACACAAAGCAGCAUGGCCUGUCUGAGUGAUCGAAAAUGAAUUCUUGAACUGGAUUAGAGAAGCAGCUUCGUGGUGAGAGCAGGAGUGAGAUCCUGAAGAAGAAGAAGCAUAAAGAUGGGGAAAGAAGAGGAAUAGGCAGAGAGAGAGAUAGGGGCCAUGUUAUGUUUGUAGAGGAAGAUGAAGGAUAGGAAUGGUAUUUAUAGGCAACAAAUAGAAUCCAAUAUUAAACAAAAGAUUUGAUGAUUAAUACCACAACACCACUGUUACAGUGUUGUUUCUUUUAUGGUAUAAAGAUUGUUAUUGGAAGAGUUUGAAAUGCUGACAUUGAAAACCUAUAUUUUUCAAUACUCAUCAACAACCACUUCCUUUUUACCAUAUCUUUUUCAUUCCCAAAAUUGGAUACAUUGUUUUACCAAAAUUUUGUAUUUCAUUUGAACUCCCUAAACAACUGAGAAAAUUAACAUUGAUGAGAUUACAAAGUAGAUUGACUUAGUCUUCUUCCUUAUAAUAGGUAAAAAAAAAAUGUGAGUGUCUAUUCACUUAUAAUAUUUCCAUGCUAGAGGUAGUUUUUGGAAAAUCUUUAAUUAAAUCUUAAUUUCAUUUUGUUAAAAUUUUAAACUGGGUUAUCGAAUUGGCUUCUGAUUGUAGGUUGAUCAAUGAUGGGCCGAUUUCUUCUUCUUCUUUUUUAAUUUUUUUAGGGUUAAUUUAUAAUAUACUGCUUAAUGUUGUUGAUUUAUUUUUCUGGUCAUCGUUUCAUCCGUUUGUUGAAGAUAACUGAAUUUUUAUUGGUUGUAAUUGGACUUGGGUUUUAGCCAAUGACUAUAAUCAAAGGGUUAAUUUAAGGUUCCAAUGAAUUGUUUGAAAAUUUUAUUAUUUUUCUUUUCAAUUAGUUGUUUUACAAGGAUUUAACUUAUAUUAGUCAAAUGAACUGGCUUUAAAAAAUGAACAAGAACGAAGAAAUUGGAUGGUUAACUGGACACUGGAAAGGGGGAAUGCUAAAAGUUGUAAAUGUUUUGAAUAUAGAGUUGUAUUCUUUUCAUGGCUUCAGAAAAAUGUAUGCAAUGUUUGGCCAGCGAUAAUGGACAAGUUUUUUUAAACCUCCAUGCCUUAGUCAUGCUUUCAUAAACAUGGGCAGCUAACACCGAGAAGUCUCAUUGAAUGUAGUAAGCGAUUUAAAAGUGAAGCUCAUAUGCGACCGGGGAUGGUUGAUUUGAGGUUUAAUUCUAGCUAGUAGAUUCUGUUGUUUGUUAAGCGUCUUUUUGGAGACAAAUGUCUGAGAUUGCUGGAAAAUGCUUCUUACCAUCAUAUUAAUGUGUAUUUGGGUUGCGUUUUCUUAGAGUUUUGGAUUCUUUGCAUCAUAUCAUAAAAUUGAGUUAGAUAUAACAUCUCAUUGUUAUCUGUUAAUUGUUUCACUUGGGACCAGGAGCAUGCUGGCAACUCAAUACAGCUGUAAAUGCAUAUUUCAGUGAGGGUGAUAGGUAUAUAUUUAUGAAUUAUCCUAAUAUUUUUUAUGAUAAGUAAUUCUAGGUUUAUAGCUUUAUUUGUUUGUUUGUUUUCUCGUGUUUCCUACAAAAAAAGGCCAACAUCAACCAUAGUUCCUGUAGAUGAUGCCAUGGAUAUAGAUGAUCCAAAUGAAGUAGUACCAAAUGGGCCAGUCCUUCCAUUUCUACCAUCAUCUAGAACAAACGAACAAUCGUCUCUUUUUCUGAAAUUUCCGGCGCGACGCCUGUGCGGGGGGCCUUGGCCGGAAUCUGGACUUAGUCCAGAGAGUUUUUUUUUCUUUCUUCUGUUUUUUUUUUUCAAUGUUCAAAUGAUUUUUUUUCUCAAAACACUAAUUUUUAUGCCCAGUGAAACGGCGCCGUUUUGGCUAAGCUCCAAAACACCCAAAACGACGUCGUUUCACUCGCCACCAACUUGAAUUUUAUAACUACUCCUAUGCCAACCAGCAAACCAUAACAGCGUACAUAAAAAAGAGGAUGCUGACUUACAAUUCCUUUCAUUUCACCAUAACCAAUCAAAUCCCUUGCAAUGCUGUUUGGAUCACAGCAGCUCAUCUUUCAAUCCUAGAUGGCUCCGCUAAUUUUUUGAAAGCAUACAUAAACUGUUAAAGAAAUAAAUGGAUAAAACAACUACAGGAUAGAAGGCUGAAAAAUUACAAAGUGCAAUGACCUUAUUGUUAAAAUUUCAACGCCCAUUCCUUGGAAAGAUAUCUUCACCAUUGCCCACUCAAGAGAACUCAAAUAGCAGCAAGAUCUAGUAUAAAAUGUAACUCUCAACAACACACACAAAUGUUUGUUCUAUCAAGGAGCAAUACACAGACAUAUUCACCUACCCUUGGUUCUAGCUUUGCAUAUUACAUAACACUCUUCAAAUGUCUUAUUAAAUUCUCACUUUUACGAGUGCUAUGAUAAUCAAAUAAAAUUCAAUUCAAUUUUAAGUUCCAUAUAACACUUACAUGGCUACAAAAUGUGUGUGUGUUUAAGUGUCGACAACCACAAACAAUCCAAAUUUGCAGAGAAACCACCCAUUAUAUAUAGGUUUGCCAAUGAGAUGGCAAGCAGAUUGCUAGCUAGAAAUUCAUGCAUCUUUGAAUCACCAGUUCAAUUAAUAAGCUUAAGUAGAGGAAAUAGGGACUUUACAUCCACCAAUUAAAGCAACCUAUAUGUACCCUUUUACAGUCUGCAUUGUUCCAUGUUUCAAUUCAUUACAUCAUUCCUUCAACUCUGCUAUAUAUUAUUACCGUCUCCAGAUAACCAAACCUUUUACUGCUAACUUGUAAAAAAAUUAUGAAAAUACAACAGAGAUCAUUGAGACAUUGUUGAAGUUGGCUUGCAUGCAGAGCAAGAAGCAGACCAAGCUGUCCGAGCCAUGCAAGUUGCAGCUGAAGCUUAUGCUGCUGUUUUGUUACUUUCAAAUAGAUAUUUUAUUACUUAGUUAGAUAUGAACUAAGUUGUUGAUAUGCUUGAUGUGAUUAGGUGCUGAUAGAUUGAUAAAUCAGCUUUACCAAGUGUACAAGCAAUGUUUAUCAAGUUACUAAGCCACUUAGUGGAGUUAGGCACGUGUUUAGGUAACAUUUUCUUAUUUUUGACCAGCUGAUUGCUCGGUAUAUGUAAUGGAAUUGUGCCUUCAUUUGGUCUUUACUUAAGCAUUUUUAUUCAAAAAGCUCUUGCUGUUUUUGUUUUGUUUGUUGUGCAAGAUAUCAAUGCUUUAUGCUUAAGUUUCUGUCAAAAUUUCUCAUUCUGUUUUCUUAGUUCCUACAGACAUUUUGUUCUCCUUUCUCCUUUACUGAGCAGUAGCAAAGAUUAUUGAGACUAAAUUGAAAUCCAUGAAAGAAGACAUAAACAACACCACCAUACAAAAUGUCACACUCAAACAAACCAUUACAGAUAGUACGAAAUGCAAUGAAAGACAGAGGAAUUGGUACAAUAAUAAAGACAGCCAGAUACCAAUGCAACCCUUCACCAUAGGCACAACGGUCUACAAACAAGAAAUUAUGAAAAAUACAACACUAAUUCUUGAACAUCAUUUGCAGUAAUUAGAUCCUUCUUCGUCUACUGCUGCGAUUGCCUUUCUUUGACUUUCUUCUUCGCCUCUUCUCAUGUUGGUUUUCAACCAAAUUCACCAACCAUUUUGGCUUUCCAGUUUGGAAAACAACAUAUCCCACGGACAUUCCGAACACUACUCCGCAUCCACAACCUAUCAUCACCACUUUCCAACCAAAAGCAAUGUUUGAUUUUGAGCCAUCUUUUUCAAGCACAUUUGGAGGUGGUGGGUCAAUGAUGUUGCAACCUUUCGAGACCGGAAACCCACACAGUCCCUUAUUUCCUUCAUAUGAAUCAUUUCCAAAUGUGUUGAAUUGUUUGCCUUGGGGAAUCUUACCAUGGAGUUGAUUUUCAGAAACAUUUAAGGACGAAAGAAACGGCAGAUCUGCCAAUCUAUUUGGAAUCGCCCCAGACAACCUGUUUGAAGAUAGGUCCAACCAUUCAAGACUUGUCAAAUUCCCUAUUGAUGUGGGGAUACCACCAUUAAGGUUAUUAUGAGAAAGGUUGAGCCCUUUCAGUAAGUUAAGCUUCCCAAUAACCUUUGGAAUACCCCCUUCAAACUGAUUGUUUGAUAGAUCAAUGAUCAUCCACAUGGUGAAAAUUUUCACCAAUUCCCUAUCUUGUCCUUUCAUAACAAUUCCAAUGGAAUAGGUAUAGAAGUCACCUCCAUCAUCAUUCACCCCCAUGUACGACACUGUACUACCAAUCUUCUCUAGAUUUAUGAUAGCCUUGAAGCUGUUGAUGUAUCUCACUGGUAGGGGUCCAGAAAAAUAAUUACUUGAGAGAUCAAAAAUUUGGAUUUUAGAGAAAAAAGGGAUAGACUUGGAGCUAUUGACACAUAAGGAACCAUGCAAUUGAUUUGACUUCAAUACAAGAACUUGUAGCCGUGGAAGACUUCCCAACCAAUGAGGAAAUGUAUCAUUGAUCUUGUUGUUACCAAGAUCUAGCACUUCCAGACCAUUACAAUUAAGGAUGGAUGGUGUCAAAGGCCCUUCUAACAGAUUUCCAUUUAAGUUGAAAUUACUCAAUUGGCAUCCCAUUGCAAAUGUUGGAGGAAUCGUCCCAUAGAACUUGUUCUUCUUCAGAUUCAAGAAUAGAAGGCUGUUGCUCAAAUUUCCAAAACAUUGUGGAAUUGUUCCACUCAAGUUAUUGUGGGACAAAUCAAGAAUUUCAAGAAAAGCGGCAUUGCAUAUUAAAGAAGAGACCUCUCCAUUGAAACUAUUAUUAGAGAUCAAAAAGACAUUGAUGGUCGAAGCUGGAAUCGGAAGAUUUCCACUGAUCAAAUUGGAGCUUAAGUCAAGAACGUCAAUAUUCUUCCAUGGAAAGUGCUCAACUUCUGUCAAAGAGUUGUGAGAUACGUUUAAGUAAGUCAAAGAGUCAUUCCCCACCUCUUGCAUCCACUGUGGAAUCUUGCCUUCAAUUUUGUUGUAAGAGAGGUCUAAGCUUUCCAAACUUUUAAGCCCUUUUAAAAAUUGGGGGAAUUCACUAAGAUUGCAAGAUGACAAAAACAACCUUGUAAGAUUAACAGUAGAAGUAGUAUUAGAUGUUAAGGAUAGGCUGUUAUAUGAAAGGUCAAGAGAUUCGAGAUUUGGAAGGUUUGAGAACAUGCGAAACUCUAUGACACCACUAAGAUAAUUUGAGGAUAAGCUAAGUUGGGUAAGAUUGAGAAGUUGGAAUAUUGAAGAUGGAAGAGGACCUUGGAGUUUAUUAUUCUCUAACGCUAUCCAUUCUAGUGAUUUGGAUUGGAAUUCUUUGAUAUGCCCACUGAAUUGAUUUUGAGAGAGUUUUAUAUCCUUUAAGGAGGGAGCAGUAUACAACCAUGAUGGAAGUUGUCCACUGAGUAAAUUGUUAGUUAAGUCUAAAGAUAUUAGAUUAGGAAAAGCGGUUACCUCAUCUGGAAUAGAACCUUUUAAUGUAUUUCCAGCUAUUCUCAAGUAUUCCAGCUGCGUUAGGUUUAGAAUUGACAAUGGAAUUUGUCCAUUCAAUUGGUUCUGCCACAAGCCUAAAUAAGUGAGUUGCAAGAGGUUCCCCAAUGAUCUUGGAAUUUGUCCACUCAAUUGGUUUUGCCACAAGCCUAAAUAAGUGAGUUGCAAGAGGUUCCCCAAUGAUCUUGGAAUUUGUCCACUCAACUGGUUCCCCGAUAAGUCUAAAUGAGUGAGUUGCAAGAGAUUCCCCAGUGAUUUUGGAACCGGUCCUGAUAAGUUGGAAUAGGAGAGAUCUAAAAACUUCAAGGACACAAGAUUACCCACCGAGUCUGGCAAUCCUCCAAAAAAAUUUGCGCCUGAAAUUAUCAAUUGCUCCAAAGAUGAUAAAUUUGUGAUUGAGACAGACAAUCCUUGAAAGAAAAAAUUUCCUGAUAGACCUAAGGACUUUAAGGCCUGUAGAUUAUCAACUGAAUCAAUGAAUUCUGUAGAGAAGGACGUCCAUGACAGAUCCAAAUGUUCAAGAUUGCUGCUCCGAUUCAACUUCAAAGGAUCAAGAUUGAGGUUUUGGUUGUUUCCCAAGUUGAGGAGAUUGAGGUUUGGCAAAUCAAAAAUGUUGUUUGGGAAUUUUCCUUGCAAAUCACAACCAGCAAGACUGAGAGACCUUAGAGAAGAGGAUAGAUUCAUGAAGACAUGAGCAUUAACAGAAGCCAUCUCCAUUCCAUCCAAAAACAGAUGUCUGACCUCGGUUAGGUUUUGAACAAGUCCCUCCAGAGCAUGUUUGUCUCCUACAAACCCUGUACUGGAAAGGUCGAGGUAGAGUAGGCUUGUAAACCGACCUAACUCGGAUGGAAUUUCGGAAAGAUUAAACUCAUUGUAGGCAAGGUUGAGUUUUUGAAGGUGAGGAAGAAGGAAGAGAGUGGAAUUGGAAGGGAAGUUGCCAUAUAGCCAACUGCAGCUCAAGUCAAGGGCAAUAACAUGAGCAUUUAGGUGGUCACAAGUGACCCCAUCCCAUGAGCAGCAAUCUGUACCCUCCUUCCAUGAAU